UACGGAGGGUGCGAGCGUUGUCCGGAAUCACUGGGCGUAAAGGGCGCGUAGGCGGCGCGGGAAGUCCGUGGUGAAAGCCCGAGGCUCAACUUCGGGUCGGCCAUGGAUACUCCUGGGCUCGAGCACUGUAGAGGCAGGUGGAAUUCCGGGUGUAGCGGUGGAAUGCGUAGAUAUCGAGAGGAACACCAGUGGCGAAGGCGAGUCCCUGGACAACACCUGACACUGAGGCACGAAAGCUAGGGGAGCAAACAGG
rnacentral:rRNA from 1 species